GAUGAACGCUGGCGGCGUGCCUAAUACAUGCGAGUCGAGCGAACAGACGAGGAGCUUGCUCCUCUGACGUUAGCGGCGGACGGGUGAGUAACACGUGUAUAACCUACCUAUAAGACUGGGAUAACUUCGGGAAACCGGAGCUAAUACCGGAUAAUAUAUUGAACCGCAUGGUUCAAUAGUGAAAGACGGUUUUGCUGUCACUUAUAGAUGGAUCCGCGCCGCAUUAGCUAGUUGGUAAGGUAACGGCUUACCAAGGCAACGAUGCGUAGCCGACCUGAGAGGGUGAUAGGCCACACUAGAAGGGAGACACGGUCAAGACUCCUACGGGACGCAGCAGUAGGGAAUCUUCCGCAAUGGGCGAAAGCCUGACGGAGCAACGCCGCGUGAGUGAUGAAGGUCUUCGGAUCGUAAAACUCUGUUAUUAGGGAAGAACAAAUGUGUAAGUAACUAUGCACGUCUUGACGGUACCUAAUCAGAAAGCCACGGCUAACUACGUG
rnacentral:rRNA from 1 species